GCACGCACGCACGCCCGCCGGGUAUACAUACACAGAAGCGCCGGUCGAAACCUUCGCGCGGACACCCACCCGCCCGGCGUGUGGGUCGGCGCUAUUUGGGACACGCGGGGCACGGACGCGGUGAAAUUCGCUCGUUCCUCGGUUGGUGUCAGCUCCAGAAUUACUUUCCGCGCGUGUAGUUACGUCGCAAAACCACUUUGGAGAGAUGGCACACGGGAAUGAGGAAGCAGCCACCCCGACUCCCGAAGACCUCACCAGCCUCUUGAAUGUCGCCCUGUCAUGAACAGCUUCUCAGGCGAAGUGCUGCACCUGCCCAAGCACUGAAGAUGUGCCGCGCACACUUUGAACUUAGUGGCGACUGAGAACGUAGACAAAAGAUGCACGAUCAGCACGUAUACCGUCAGAUGGCAACGGCCGUGCUUGGAACACUGAAACUUAUUUGGAAUAAGCAGGGCCAGUCCACCCGAACAGCAAAAGUCAUAAAAAAAAACAAAAAAACUAGGGAGAUAUUUUUCGGUUCCUAACACUACUCGCUGGAAUUCAAUGAAGUCAGUUGAGGAGGCCCCGAAGGACAAGAUAGAGGCUGUCUGCGACGCCCUCGCACUGCCGCGUCUACAAAAAGACGAUCAGAAGUUAAUCGAGGAGUAUUGCCAGAUUUUCUGAAGACCUCAGGUCCGACGAGCUCCUUCUGGAUACAGUGGUGCAUCCAAAUUUAAAAUUUCAUGGAUUCAUGAAGCGCAGAAAACGCAUUCUAUGCUUCUUGAAGAGGAACGUAACGCACUGCGCCCUUCCGAGGAAGCUACACGGGAGCCAACAAGCGAUGAAGACGACGAC
rnacentral:misc_RNA from 1 species